AUAUAGCGCCAGGGAAACUUGGAUUAACANCGCAUAGUAAUGUGUUUUGGGAUCAUUACAUAGUUAAAACUAGGGUGGUAUAAGAUGGGGAUGCGGCCCAUUAGCUUGUGGGUGUGGUGAACGGCACACCAAGGCAACGGAUGGGUAGGGGCCCUGAGAGGGGGAUCCCCCACGACUGGUACUGAGACACGGACCAGACUCCUACGGGAGGCAGCAGUGAGGAAUAUUGGACAAUGGGCGGGAGCCUGAUCCAGCCAUGCCGCGUGCAGGAAGACUGCCCUAUGGGUUGUAAACUGCUUUUAUACGGGAAGAAACCCACCUACGUGUAGGUGGCUGACGGUACCGUAAGAAUAAGGACCGGCUAACUCCGUGCCAGCAGCCGCGGUAAUACGGAGGGUCCGAGCGUUAUCCGGAAUCAUUGGGUUUAAAGGGUCCGCAGG
rnacentral:rRNA from 1 species